rnacentral:lncRNA from 1 species
AACAUCUGAACCCCAAGCCCUCACAUAUGAGCUUUGGACAAAUCACUAGUCCUAACAUCUGAACUUGUGACUCACCUCUUUCACAACAACGACAACAUAUGACGCAUGUGCAAUAUAAUGCACAACCACAAUAACUCAACAUCAUAUUUACAAUUCCACAUCUAACUGUAAAUAACAACAUCAAAGUAAUCCCCACAGUUGG